rnacentral:sRNA from 1 species
CAAUAUAAGCCUUCUUUA